GUUCACUAGAAACCCGGAUCCGAUAAUGAUUUGAAUCGGGCUCAUGGUGAAAGGCCAGGUGUCCGCUUAAGGAUAACCGCCUCUGGCGUAGAAGAACCCCUCGCCGUCUUCCGCCACCGUUUGCCCUCUUUCGCUGAAACAAAGAUCCUUCUUUUCGAACCCUUGGGCUCCGUCUGGUUUGCUUGUCGGGAUUGACUUGCCUUCUUUUGCUGAAGUCGUGUGAUUUUGGUGAAUGCAGGCAAGCAACUGUUUGAGAUCGACAUGGUGGCAAGACCGGAGGAUGCGCCUCCCCUGGUCGGACGAGAGCCUUCCUUGUAAGGUUGAAGCUGCGGUCCUCAACAGUUCAAUCUGAUGAUGCUUCUCCGACCUGUAUAUUAAAUGUAGGCAUGUUCUUCACAGGAGGAAGCCAUGUAGCAACUUGCCAACUAUGACGAAGAAUUAUCAAAGAAUCGAGAUGAUGUCGAAACAGCAGGAGAUGUUUUGUAUCGAUGCCAUUGAUGAUAAAGGGGGGCAGCACUUCCUCGGAACAGCUUGAUAGUGUUGUAGCUUUCUCCACCACACCUGGGGCUGGUACAGAAGUCGCUGCUGAUGGGAGUAACCUGGGAUUCAGAGUUUGUAUUUCCCAUGAAUAUCUAGCACAUACCCAUGGUUGCCUGGAGUUGAACUGUGGCUGUUUGCAGUCGACCAUAGCCAGCAGGGAUGCAUCUUAUCGACAUCAAGUCAACUUGGAUCGGGGCGGCCGCAAGUGGAAAUCAAACGAGGUGUGGUCGAAGAAAGUGUGUUGAACUCGGACUCGGAAGAAGCUUCUUCAUCAAAGAUGAAUGACAAUGUCACUGAGGUCGCUGUGACGACAAGUACAUGACGACAAGUUUUCUAUUUUACUUCUUGUUGUGCAACUUUUGAUUGAGAAUUUUUGGUUAGGUAUUUUUCUGACCGCACAAUCGAGACUUGGUUAGGUAUUUUACUUUGUUUUCCUUUUAUGCUUAAUUUUAUUUUGCGGGGCAAAAUUUUCCUCUCGAUAAAGAA